AUUAUUGGAAAUGAAAUGUUAUUCGUUUAUAAAGAUAUCUAGUUUUUUUAGAAAUAAAUUUAAUUUAAAAGUUUUUAAUUUUAUUAAUUAUUUAUAUAAAUUAAUAAAUUUAAAAAUUUUAAUAUUUUAAGGGAUAAGCUUUAAAAUAAAUUUUUAUAAAUAAAUAAAUGAUAAUUAAAAUUAUAUGCAUAGAAUUAGUAAUUAUUAAAAAUUUUGUUAUAAAUUAUUUUAUAAAAUAUAUUAUUUAUUUUAAUUUUAAAUUUUUAUAAAAAUAUUUUUUUUAAUUUUAUUUAAAAAGUAAUAAUGAUAAAAUUAGUAUAUUUAUAUUAUGUAGAUAUAAUUUAUUUUGAUAAGUUUAUAUAAAGAACUCGGCAAAUAUUUUACUCGCCUGUUUAACAAAAACAUGUCUUUUUGUGUUAUUUUUAAAGUCUAACCUGCCCAAUGAAUAAAUUUAAUGGCCGCAGUAUUUUGACUGUGCAAAGGUAGCAUAAUCAUUAGUCUUUUAAUUGAAGGCUUGAAUGAAUGGUUGGACGAAGUAUAAUCUGUUUCAUUUAAAUUUAUUAUAGAAUUUUAUAUUUUAGUUAAAAAGCUAAAAUAUUUUUAAAAGACGAGAAGACCCUAUAAAUCUUUAUAAUUUAUUUUAUUUUUAUUUUUUAUAUUUAUUUUAUUUAAAUAAUUUAAAUUAUUUUGUUGGGGUGAUAUUAAAAUUUAAUAAACUUUUAAUUUAAUUAUUUCAUAAAUUUAUGUUUUAUUGAUCCAUUAAUAAUGAUUAAAAGAAUAAGUUACUUUAGGGAUAACAGCGUAAUUUUUUUGGAGAGUUCUUAUUGAUAAAAAAGUUUGCGACCUCGAUGUUGGAUUAAGAUAUAAUUUUAGGUGUA
rnacentral:rRNA from 1 species